rnacentral:misc_RNA from 1 species
GGGAAAACCAGAGGGCAAACUGAAGCAGAAAGAAGAGAAAAACUGAGUAAAGAUAAGCAAUCACUGAGGCUAGCUGAAAUUAUUUGUAAUUCUGGGUUAAGUUAAACCAGACAAGAACAAUAUGCAAAGAUUAAGUGGUACAGCUAGCUGAUGUGGAAAGGUGAUAUUCUCUAUAAAGAGCUAAUGACAAUCCUAUUCCCAUAUAUGAAGAACAAUUAGAAUCCAACUACGCCAUCAAUUCUGCAUAUGCAGAGCAGAGAUGAGCCACAACCUCCGAAUGGGGAUUUUUCAAAUACAUAGUUGCACACCCAAAGAGACAAAAUAAAGUCAGCAGCAUUCAUCAUGCUCAUGGAAUAUAAUUGAUG